UCACUUACCUGGUUGGAGUGUGUCUUUGAUCAAGAAGGAAGACCGCUUAGGGUGGAGCAGGUCAUUCGC
rnacentral:snRNA from 11 species